rnacentral:rRNA from 1 species
GAUCCUGGCUCAGGAUGUACGCUAGCUACAGGCUUAACACAUGCAAGUCGAGGGGCAGCAUGGUCUUAGCUCGCUAAGGCCGAUGGCGACCGGCGCACGGGUGAGUAACACGUAUCCAACCUGCCGUCUACUCUUGGACAGCCUUCUGAAAGGAAGAUUAAUACAAGAUGGCAUCAUGAGUCCGCAUGUUCACAUGAUUAAAGGUAUUCUGGUAGACGAUGGGGA